AUGGGACCUUAUGCAAGUUCAGGCUGGUCAGACCUCCCCAUCGACCUCCUGAUCCGGAUAGUGCAUCUCCUUGAGCUCCCGGAGGCCCUUGCCUUCCGCGCUGUCUGCCCGUCUUGGUGUUCUGCAUCUGCGGCCGCAGGCGCUGCCCCACCUCGCCGCACGCCGUGGCUCAUGUCCUUGGCGGACGAUCCUCUUUCGGUAGGGGAUCAGCAUCGGCGUGUACGUCGUGGGUUAUGGGAUCCUGCUGCUACUACUGAGCUCCGCAACCUACUGGAUCCUGAUAGAACUUUUCAGGUCAGCUUUCCCAGGGGGCAGGCUGUGGCCUGCUGCGGCGCCUCCCAUGGCUGGUUAAUCAUGGCAAAUGAGCUCUCGGAUCUCGUCCUAUAUAACCCCUUCACCGCGGCGUUGAUCCCGCUCCCCCCAAUCACCGGUUUUUCGUCGUGCAUCGAGGGGGUCUACGGAGACGAAGGGAAGAUCGUGGGCUAUCGUUACGGGUGUUACAUGACGGAACAUGUUCAUGGUGUGCAGUCUCCCGGCAGGUGUUUCUACGACAAGGUUGUGCUGUCCGGUCCUCCGUCCACUUGUCGUGCCGUCACUCUGGUCAUCCACCUGGACGGCAAGAGGCUAUCUUUUGCAAGGAUAGGAGACAGCCAUUGGCAACAAGUUUCAGUGAUCCAAAGAAGCGGGGAUAGUAUCUACCACCGCGGAAGGUUCUAUGCGGUGACAAUGGAAGGGAUAUUGAAGUCAUGGGACUUUGGUGGACUAGACAAACCGAGGAAGAAGACGGUCAUUGCCGGGGACGAACGACAUGUUCGACGACCCUGUUAUCACUAG
rnacentral:rRNA from 1 species